rnacentral:rRNA from 1 species
AAUCAACGCUGGCGGCGUGCCUAACACAUGCAAGUCGAACGCGAGAGGGGCUUCGGCCCCGAUUGAGUGGCGAACGGGUGAGUAACGCGUGGGUGACCUACCUUCGAGUGGGGGAUAACGUCCCGAAAGGGACGCUAAUACCGCAUAACAUCCUGCUUUUGAAUGGGUGGAGAUCAAAGCCGGGGAUCGCAAGACCUGGCGCUUGAUGAGGGGGCCCGCGUCUGAUUAGCUAGUUGGGAGGUAAUGGCCCACCAAGGCAACGAUCAGUAUCCGGCCUGAGAGGGCGGACGGACACACUGGGACUGAGACACGGCCCAGACUCCUACGGGAGGCAGCAGUGGGGAAUUGUUCGCAAUGGGCGCAAGCCUGACGACGCAACGCCGCGUGGAGGAUGAAGGUCUUCGGAUUGUAAACUCCUGUUGCUCGGGACGAAUGGCUCCGGCCUAAUACGUCGGAGUGUGACGGUACCGGGUGAGGAAGCCCCGGCUAACUCUGUGCC